GACGAACGCUGGCGGCGUGCUUAACACAUGCAAGUCGAACGGAAAGGCCCUGCUUUUGUGGGGUUCUCGAGUGGCGAACGGGUGAGUAACACGUGAGUAACCUGCCCUUGACUUUGGGAUAACUUCAGGAAACUGGGGCUAAUACCGGAUAGGAGCUCCUGCUGCAUGGUGGGGGUUAGAAAGUUUCGGCGGUUGGGGAUGGACGCGCGGCUUAUCAUCUUGUUGGUGGGGGAGUGGCUUACCAAGGGUUUGGCGGGUAGCCGACCUGAGAGGGUGACCGGCCACAUUGGGACUGAGAGACGGACCAGACUCCUACGGGAGGCAGCAGUGGAGAGUAUUGCACAGUGAGCGGAAGCCGGAUGCAGCAACGCCGCGUGCGGGAUAACGGCCUGCGGGUGGUAAACCGCUUUGGCCUGUGACGAAGCGUGAGUGACGGUAAUGAGUAGAGAAGCAACGGCUAACUACGUG
rnacentral:rRNA from 1 species